GGCGUACCUGGAAGAAAAAGUCAAGAAAAUCCCACGUCUUUCUUGCAACACUGUCUUGUCAGUUUUCGCCAAUUGGUCAACACCCAAGAAACGUUGCUUCACAAUCAUAUCAGUGUCGGAAAAUAAACCUCGUGUAGCACAGAGAAUGUUUAACAGCCAUUAUCCACCAAUAUUCCAAGCCCUGGCUAAUUGUUUAUCCGCGAAACAAA